UAUAUUUCUUUAAUAUAUAACUAAAUCAUUUCCAAAUUAUUACAUUGUUUUCAAAAGGCAACAUUUUUUAAUUUAAAUUCUUUUCUCCCCUUUUCACAGCUCUAUAAAGAAGGCGUUACGUGUCUCACCGUAUUUUAGAUCAAAGUCACAUUAAUAUAAAAUGUAUGAUUACAGUCAAAAGGCCGCCGUCUCGUCUCGUGACAUUGUCUGCUCUGCGCCACAAGGACAGGACACCAAUACUGACGGAGAGUGGAAACACUAUUUUCAUUUAGUAAUUUAGAAAUCAGGGCUGACGGUUAACACGAGCAGUUUCUGAUCUACUUUCAGCGAACGCCAGGCUGCGUUUUGCUAAGCAUUUUGUGAAUUUUCCUCACAUUUGUGUAAAGUUGUCAUAAAGGUGGGACUACCCAAUAAUACUAAGUGAAAACCACAAAUCUGUGUUUAUUAUCUUUAUUGGAUUACUAAAGCGGUGUCCUGUUUUGCAUAUUUAUGAGUCUCCCCUGCCUCACAUACUGCGGCAAUCACGUCCUUUCUAGGUAAUUAAAGAUGACAUGGGAACUGUAAGCCAGUUAAUAUUGCUCAGCAAUUGCAGGUGACCAGAAUGACUGAGGACCUUGCAAAUGCAAUGCUUACUGUAGUAAAGAUAAGCUGUUUAGUGCACUCUCUGCUGCUCCACUGGUUUUAGUCUUCAUGAAGCCUCCUAUGUGCAGAAAAGGGAAAUCCUCUGUGGAAACUGAGUGCAUGUUAUUCAGCUGGUAUAUACUGCAUAUAUUAGCAAUUUCCUUCUGCUUAAAUUGUGUUGGUUUCUCAUGGUUCACACAAAGAAUCAAUAAUAAACACUGUUAUCGCGGACGGGGGAACGACACACACCAACGGGACGAUGUGCACAGCGGCGGCACUAUCCAUCACAAUCGCCAGCAGAAUCAAAUGUGCACAUAUCAACUUUGGUUAGCAAUCAAACCGGAGUAAAAGAGGAUCUCUCCAGGUUCGGAAUAAUGUGCGGUGUCGUGUAAUCCUACGUGGGGGCGGCACGGUGAGGAGAAGAUAAGAUAGAUGAGGGUUGUCAUUGGACGACAUGAAAUGUUGCUGGGUCAUAGCUUUUGAUUUCUCCCUGAACAGUGAAAUGCAGGAUACCUGUAAUAAAAGCAAACCCUGGAUUCAAACUCUUUCUGUUUGACUAAAGUCAAGUUUAAAGUUUUCCUUAAGGUACAAGGUGUGCUUUUAUUUGAUGUGGUAAACACGUUUUCUGCUGGGACUCCAGCUUCAACCACAGUUUAACAAGAAAUAGGGUACUUACCAGGCUUUAAAAAAAAUUAUCCAUACUAUUUGUGUUUUUUUUUGCAAUGGUUUUAUCCAUUUUUUAUACCCUUGGUGACCUUUUGACCUCUCUAGGCUCACCACUUGCACUUAUUUGACAACUGGAAAAAGUUUGAGCAGCCUGUGCUUGAGCAUCUUUGUUCCAGUUGGGGAUUUUUUUGUCACAACAACAACAAAAACAAAUGAAUUUGAGGUAUUUCAGAUCAGGGAUUUGCAGAUGACGAGUCCCAUUGUUAUAUUAACGUUAAGGUCAGCGUUCCUGAUGUAACGUUACAUUUGAAAGAAUAUUGCAUGACAGGAAGACUGCUGACCAAAAAGGAUACAGGGGCUUUUCUGUCAAUGGUGGGCUGGGGAGAUAAUAGUGGGAGGUGUGCUUCUCAUUGCAUCUGGCGUAAAACAAUGACAGCAUUUUAGAAAACAGAACAUCACGAUAAUAGGGAAACAAGUCGCCCAUCUUUGCCGCCGCUGGUCACAUCGUUCCGUUGGUGUGUGUUGUUCUCCGACGAUUUGUUUGAAGAGGUUUCAUCAAGUCUCAAACUUUGAGACUUAAUGAAACUUUUUCCUGAAGAAUCCCUUUUGAGUUUACGUUUAACAGCUUCAGCUUUUGCUGCUCUAAUUUUAUUACUUGGCUAAGCGAACAAAGACAAAAAUACAAAAAACAAAGCAUAUUUAACAAUUUUUUAAUCAUACUCUACUGUUUCCAUGCUGGGGUAUCCAGGCCAAACUGAUGCUUGGCGGAGAUGGCAGCUCAUGAGGAGGAGCGAGGGCGAGACGACGGGGUUAAAGGCAUCGUGGUCCCCUGGAAUAAAGAAGGUGUUGUUCGCAAGACAAUCACAACAAAUCUCUGGUUCUUCUCUUUGCCUCCGCCUGCUCCCCGUUUGUUUGUUUUUUCAAUCCCUUUGCUUCACCAUCCUCUCCUCAGCUCCUUGCUUUGACUGUUUGACCAAUAUCCCAUUCUGCCUCCCCUCACCUCCCUCCUUCUUCUCUCAUCCUCAUUUGCCACCAUAAAUUCUCUCCUCCCGUUUUCCACACUCAACACACCCCACCCUUCUCUCCUGUCUCGUUCCAUUUCAUCCGUUUUUUUUUUCUCUCUCUCCAUUCUUCCUCCUUCUCUCUGAUUCCUACUGCCUCAUUAGAAAGAGCUUUCUCCAUGGGUGCAGCUUUCUGGAGCUCAGAAGAUGACGUUUUUUUUUUUUUUUUUUUUCCAUUUGCCAUUGAUUGGAUUAUUGUUUGGCUAGUAGCAGUACUGAAUGCAUGUUGCAUGCCAGCUGUGUUUCUCCUUCCAACAAAAUGACUUUUACACACUUCGGCCCAGUGACUGAGUCUGUUCCAGUUUUCAGCUGUCUGUGGAGAGACUCGUCUCAUUUCCCAUCGUCUGUGGAGAGAGGAACAGCAGAAGUCAGCCAGUCGGCAGAGUGAGGAGAUUGCGUGGAUGACGCCUCUUUCUUCUCUCGUUCAGCCUUUCCUUUCUGCCACUAACACCAGUAGCGUUCUCUCUUCUCAUCCACCAUCUCUUUCAAUCUGAUCUCCAUCUCAGUUAUUUAUUUAUUUUUUGUAUAUUUUUUUUUUGAGAGUGUCUCCAGUUUCCAUCCUCAGGUAGGCAGCAGCACAUUCCUCCAGCAAUACGCUCCUUCCUUCUACUUUCUUCUAUGUUCUCCUACUUUCCUUAGAAUAUACCAACGUCCUCCUCCACCUUCUCAUUCUCUUCCUCCAUCUCUAUUUUUCUCCUCUCCCUCUGCCUCCACACCCUCGCCCGUGAGGGUGCUGGUGAGAUUCGCCAAUUGUGCUCACCAAAGGCAGCAAGUGGGAGUGGACCUCAAGCAAACCAGCAAGGCUUGCUCGCAGAAAGCCUGUGCCUGCGUGCGCUUUUGCAAAUGUGGAGAGGAAGAAGAAGAGAGGAAGAGGAGGAGGAGGAGAAAGGGGAGUAGGUGGAGUGGAGGGAGUGAGAGAAAGAAAAGCAUCAGCACAGUCUUCCCAGUCUCUCCUCUUUUCUCACACUCUACCCCCAGUCUGCAUGGGAGCGAAUCUGCCUCCUCUGCUCCUAAAUGGACAUUUCUGUGGCAACAUUGAGUCGCUGAAGGCAGCUCCGCUCCACAAGCUCCUACAUGCUGGAUUUUAACACAAGUGGGGAGCGGAGAGGAACUGAGGGAGAUCUCUGAAUAUGAGUGAGGAGGCUAAGGAGAAAGCAGGCGGCGGGAAAGGAGCCCAUCGCAAGAAGAAAGGCAAAAAGGUAAGAGAGCGGAAAAGCUUCCUUUUAGCUCUCUCUGUGUGGCUGGGUUUGUUGUGAACGAAGUCUGAGGUUUCUGCUUGAGGGGCGCCUCACUCGCAAGGUGGGCAAGGCAAAAGUGGCCGAAGACUUGUUUUGAUCGCUUUCAAACAAUUUUAUUUUCAUUUGCUGUCUCCGACCACCAGGUUUUGUAACAGGUGCAGGUUUCUCUCCAGUAUAUUUAGAAGCACGGCGUGUGCGUCUGUUUGUUUUUCUCUUCCAUUACUCCCUGUCUUCUGCGUGCGCUCUCAGACGGAAGGAGAAAUAUGCGCUCAGCCUCACCUGGAAUGCUACCAAACCAAGCUGAGGAACCGUACAUCAAUCACCACUUGUUAUUUUUCUGAUGCUGCAACUGGUUGGUCUGGUUGUUUUGUUGUUGAAGAAAAUGAGUGACUAAGAGAGCUGCGGUAUGUGAAGUGGUGAGGGAGAGAGAGAGAGAGAAAGAGAGAGAGCAUGGGGAUGUCCUCAGGGGUUAGGGUGGGGGCAGCAAGAUGCACGUAACGCACAGGCAUCUGUUGGGCUGUCAAACUCUCUCACAGCUGUGUGUGUGUGUGUGUAAAUGUGUUUGAGCCACAUGCACUGUCUGGUAAACACUGUCCCGUUUUGCUCUCCAGGACCUGUUUUUAAUGGUUUUGUAAUUGAAGGUGUUUGCUGCAUGAACAUGUUUUGGCUUCUGGCGUGGAAUGUUUCGUUCUGUGAUGAAUUUUUCUGGAUGCGUUUCAACAUCCUGAUUGUUUUUUUUUCUUUUCUCUCUCUCUCUCUUUCAAAAUUACAAAAGAUUACAACUCUGGCUUGCUCCAGUGCCUCCAGUGCUUUUGGGUCAACAUGGUGAUCCAAAAGACAAACUAGUCCAAUUCAUAUGCAGUCAUUAUUAAUAAUCCUGCUCCAAUCAAUCCACUGCAUUACAGCAUAAUAUUUGUUUGUAUUCUCAGGAAGAUGGGACAUAUGGCUCUUUACCAGGGUGUCAUUGAGUCAGGGGAUGGCAUGAACGCUCAAACACGAAUAAACAAGUGAUGAAAUUAAUAGAUCAAGUUGUAUUCUGAACAUUUGCUUAUUGGUAAAUAUGAUCUAGUCUUACAAAAUCAUGGCAGUGAAAUCCUCCUGUGUUGUGCACAAUUUAAAUACUGAAAAAAAAAAAAAGAAAAGAAAAGACAGGUAUUGGUCCUAAAAUGGGUAUCAAGUUUGUUUCCUAAUCAGCCCUUUCUUAGAGAGCUAUUGCAAAGUUUGUUUGGAGUUAUUUGUUCAACUACCGUUCAAACUAUAUUACUGAAAAUUGAUUUCUUAAAAACAGUGUAGAAUGUGUGAAAUAAAAAGUCAUUUUCUGAUCUUUUGUCAGCCUUAUAGGAAAGUAUAUGGAUUUAUGUGAGUUACUCUACACUCAUCUUGGGUUGCCCAAAACUUUGUUUCAGGUUUCAAACCUAUGGAGAAAGAUGCAUCUUUUUCAAAACCCAGUUAUAUCAUUAAACCACUUGUCACUUUUUCUGGCAAAGAAGGAGGGGCUUACCCAGAUCGUCAUUCAGGCAGGAGCUGUUAAUGACUGCACUGUACUACUUACUGAAUUUGCAAAUACACAUAGGUCUCAUCAUGGCCCAAAACAGAUCUGUUAGGCAACACGUAUUCCAACAGGACCCCCUCUUCUAAAAUACGCUGGGAAUCUUGUUAAGGUCCAUAUCAUGACUUCUUUAAAGAAAAAUGCACAUAAAUCACCCUUCUUCCAUCUCCAAGUCUAAAUCCUACAGAGAAAUGUUUGUUCACUAGAGAUAAUCCAGGAUGUGCUCCAUCUAAACUCAUCCAACUGUUUUCAAAGGAGACCUUUGACAUCAGGAAGUCAUACAAUGGAGAGAAAAUCCAAAGCAUAAAGACAAAGAGAGCAGAUCUGACACAGACACAUUAAAUAAUUUAUAGCAGUGCUCAGCUGUUUAAAAAAAAAAAGCUGUCAAUCUGGUUCCUCUAACUAGACUUGUGUAAAGAAAAUGUUUUAAAACUGCUAAAAGAACCAGCAAACAAAUACUUAACUAAAAACAUCUAUUUAUGUCUAGAUGAAUAUUUGAUUGUCUCCAAGUACUUCAUACAAAUUUAAGCACCAUUAUUCAUUCUGCUGAUAAAUAUUUUUUCAUCUUUGCUCAUUAUGGAUCACACCCUCUUUUGACAGCUUUUGCUCAUCCCAGUCCUCAAGGCACUUUUUUUUUUUUUUUUUUUUUUUUAGAUAUUUAAAAUGUUUUCCUGACUCAAAGGAAUGAAUUGCCUCAGCAGUUCACCAUCGAGUUCUGCAACAUGAAUCAGGGAACAAUCUAACCCCUGCAGGGCAGUGAACCCAAUGAAACUGGACUCAAAAAACAAACAAAAAAAAAAGGCCUUCAUGGGUUUUAUGGACGCCAGAAAGUCAGUAUUAACAGCAAUGUUAUCUCCUGUAGUGAAAAACCAGUAAUUAUUACAAAUAUUUCUUGUAAUGUUAAAUUUAGAAUGUGUUAGCCACAUCCACAAGAAAAAUGCUCAUGUUUAAAGUAUAAUUAAAUGAAAUUACAUAUUAUUAUAUUCCUAAAAACUUUGUUAGAAUAUGUUCUCCGAUUCUUGUACGAACGUGUUGACUCUUACAAAAUAUGACAGAUUAUAACAUCGGAUGAAACCAAAAUAACUGUUUAAUGAGCUCCUGUUGGUAACUGUUGUGUAUUGAAGUCAAGUAAACCCUUUUCCUUACUGUAGACUACGUGUAUAAAAUAGAAAAUGACCUUGAAUCAUCGGCAGUCAGAGCUGGUAUCCGUGAAAUAUCGCAUGUUGCACAGAACCAUCCAAAAAAAAAAAAAGCAAGAGACAGCAAGAUCAAAAAAGGACAAAAAGACCUGACCUGAUUCAACUUUUACUUUAGACUCAAGUGAAAAUUGUGUCAAAGGUGGACAUCAAACCACCACCAAAGCAGGAAUAUAUCUGAGUGUGCUGGUACUCAGUCCAAAAUGGAUCUCUACUAGAUGUGAAAAAGCUCCAACAACGAUUAAAUCAAUAAUCGAAAAAAAAAAUAAAAUAAAAUCUCAGUAGGGGUGCAGGCGCUAGCUCAGAGAAAACAGGAAGUGUGAACGUUGAAUAGGGCAUAAUUUCAGUAUCAUGAGGAUUCUCCAGUUUCAUCUCUCUUCCCUGUCAUAUGUAGAUAAAGAAGGCUAAAUUCAGCCAUGGGAUUAAGUCGGAGGCCCAAAGUUCUCGCUGUUCUCC